UAGGGAAUCUUCCGCAAUGGACGCAAGUCUGACGGAGCAACGCCGCGUGAGUGAAGAAGGAUUUCGGUUCGUAAAACUCUGUUGUUAGAGAAGAACAGCGCAUAGAGUAACUGUUAUGCGUGUGACGGUAUCUAACCAGAAAGCCACGGCUAACUACGUGCCAGCAGCCGCGGUAAUACGUAGGUGGCAAGCGUUGUCCGGAUUUAUUGGGCGUAAAGCGAGCGCAGGCGGUCAAUUAAGUCUGAUGUGAAAGCCCCCGGCUCAACCGGGGAGGGUCAUUGGAAACUGGUUGACUUGAGUGCAGAAGAGGCGAGUGGAAUUCCAUGUGUAGCGGUGAAAUGCGUAGAUAUAUGGAGGAACACCAGUGGCGAAGGCGACUCUCUGGUCUGUAACUGACGCUGAGGUUCGAAAGCGUGGGUAGCAAACAGG
rnacentral:rRNA from 1 species